AAAUUUCUUAUCACGAUGACUUCUAAAAUUUGUUGUGCAGUUAGAAGACUAUCCUCAUAUUGGUGCAACCAUUUUGGCCGACACAAAUCUAGCUCAACUGCGGUGGGCAACCAGAACGUAAUAAAAUUGGCUAGUGUCAACUUGACACCUAAGUUAAGGCUACUGUCAUUUCGAGUUUCAAGAAACUAUUUGUACUUCAGUUUUGCAAGUCCGGAUACAGACUUGGUAGAAUAUUCGGAACUUUGUAUUGAAGAGAGCUAACGACAUCCAGUAUUUUGGGAAUUAAAUACAAUUGUAUUUGUCACAGAG